rnacentral:rRNA from 1 species
AAAUAGAACUUUGCAGAGAGAGUUAAGAGGGCGUGAAACCGUUAAUUGGCAAACGAAUCGGAGCCACGAAGUCGUUUCGUUGAAUUAAUCAGUACAAGUUCAGUUUAACAUACACAAACAUGUUGAGCGUACUCUUGAGCGCUGAUCAAUCGUUGUAAACGUACACUGCAACCAGUUAGACAAUUGGCGAUGGGCAUAGUUAGUUUAGUGAAGUAAGCUUUAAACCUUGUUUUGUUAGAUUAACGAAGCAUUUGUUUGUUCAAGUUAGUAGUAGUGCUGUUGUAACUUGUUACUUCUUGUGCUGCUGAAUUUGUUACAAGUGAGCUAUAGCCAAAUACUGACUGGUAAAAUAAAAAUCAUUCGCGAGAAUGUUUCCAGAAAAAGCAACUCUCCAUUUAAAUGUCUACACUCUUCAACCGUAGGGUUUAAGCUCAGCAUUUUUGAAUUUGAACUUGCUUGCUACCAAUGGGGCAACUCUUGGUGCUUGUAUAGCUUUCAUCUAAUCGGGUGUUGACUUGAUUUUAUGCUUGUUUGGAGGUGCUAUGAUUGGAUGUUUAAAUGAGUGUUAGUUUGCCAAUUCAUUUGCAGUGAGUAGGUCGGCUUUCCGAACGACCCGUCUUGAAACACGGACCAAGGAGUCUAAUUAGGCAUCAGUCGAUCAGUCUUGAUAGGCUAGAAGGGGGCAAAUAGUUUCGGCUUUUAACCCCAAGCGAAGGCGUAGAGAAAUCAAACCAUGUGAUCGUUUAAGCUCAUACACAAUGGCUUUUAUGCGCAACAUGUGCCUGCUCAAUAUAGUAAUGUGCCUUAAAACACUUGCUGGGCGGAGUAAAGAGAUGCUUGAUUGGUACCCGAAAGAUGGUGAACUAUGCUUGGGCAAAUUGAAGCCAGAGGAAACUCUGGUGGAGGAUUGUAGCGAUUCUGACGUGCAAAUCGAUCGUCAGACCUGAGUAUAGGGGCGAAAGACUAAUCGAACCAUC